CGGCGGACGGGUGAGUAACGCGUGGGUAACCUGCCUCAUACAGGGGGAUAACAGUUAGAAAUGGCUGCUAAUACCGCAUAAGACUACAGUACUGCAUGGUACAGUGGUAAAAACUCCGGUGGUAUGAGACGGACCCGCGUCUGAUUAGGUAGUUGGUGAGGUAACGGCCCACCAAGCCGACGAUCAGUAGCCGACCUGAGAGGGUGACCGGCCACAUUGGGACUGAGACACGGCCCAG
rnacentral:rRNA from 1 species